rnacentral:rRNA from 1 species
UGCCAGACUCCUACGGGAGGCAGCAGUGGGGAAUAUUGCACAAUGGGGGAAACCCUGAUGCAGCGACGCCGCGUGAAGGAAGAAGUAUUUCGGUAUGUAAACUUCUAUCAGCAGGGAAGAAAAUGACGGUACCUGACUAAGAAGCCCCGGCUAACUACGUGCCAGCAGCCGCGGUAAUACGUAGGGGGCAAGCGUUAUCCGGAUUUACUGGGUGUAAAGGGAGCGUAGACGGCAAUGCAAGCCAGAUGUGAAAGCCCGGGGCUCAACCCCGGGACUGCAUUUGGAACUGUGUAGCUGGAGUGUCGGAGAGGCAGGCGGAAUUCCUAGUGUAGCGGUGAAAUGCGUAGAUAUUAGGAGGAACACCGGCGGCGAAGGCGGCCUGCUGGACCGUAACUGACGUUGAGGCUCGAAAGCGUGGGGAGCAAACAGGAUUAGAUACCCGUGUAAC